rnacentral:tRNA from 1 species
AGCAUCUUGACAUAGUGGUUUGAGUGCUGGACUACAACUCUGGAGACAGGGUUCAAUUCCCAGCUCAGCUG